UCGAGUUUAUUACGAAUUGAUUUUGUUAGCAAGUACAAACAAAAGACACGAUACUUCUUGAAUCUUUUAUUUCAAUAGAAUAUAAUUCAGUUUAAGCACUUGAAUUCAUAUGAUUAAUUUGUAAGUACAUUCAAAAUAAUAAAUGUUAGCUUUUGUAGCGUAUACGACACCUUCACAUUAAAAAACGCUACCUCAGUCUAUUUUCGAAACUGUGCUCUAAUUCGAAAAUAUGUUCGAAACGACAACUUCAAAGCGCAUAUACCAUGCUUUUGUUGUUUGACUUUUGUGAUUAAGACCAAGAUCAACAAUCUACAAAUUUUAUUUACUUUCUUUAAUGUUUCUUGCUCAGCAUUUCAGUGAAUAAUUUCCAGUUCACUUACGUCAUUCGCUGAUUGCUCAUCGCCAUCACUUUUCGCCACGGCCGAAAUACGCGGUUGUUCCGUUGACACUGAUGGUUGUGUUGACGUUGAUGGAACGGCUGGAAUGGACUGGCACACCCUUUGAAAGUGGCCAACUCGACCGCAGUUCCUGCACACCUUAUCUUUUGCUGGACAUUCGGAC